UUUUUUUUUUUUUUAAUCUUUUUAGGGCCACAUCUGCAGCAUAUGGAAGUUCCCAGGCUAGGGGUCAAAUCAGAGCUGUAGCUGCCAGCCACAGCCACAGGAACGUGGGAUCCAAGCCACAUACCACAGCUCUCGGCAACGAUGGAUCCUUAACCCACUGAUCGAGGCCAGGGAUCGAACCUGCAUCCUCAUGAAUGCUAGUCAGAUAUAUUUCCACUGAGCCACAAUGCGAACUACUGAGUUGAAGAUUCUUGUGUGGAACACAUAGAAGCUGACCUAACCUGGUCUGAAGAAGGAACAAUGAACAGUUUCUCAGGUGACAAAGGGCAAGGAAGGAGUAAGUUAGGAAUGUGAGGCAGAAGAAAGGGCAUAUGCAAAGGCCGAGAGAAGGUUGGAGAGUCUGAGAGCAAGGGGACAGGUGUGUUGGAGGAAGGAGGAAUGUUGCUUACAGUUGGUGCUCUAAAUGAGAGGUGAGGGAUGGGGCUGGAGAGGAAGGUAGGGGUAAGUCAUACUAGAAAUGUUGGAUUUUAUCCUGUGUUACACAGUAGGAGACAAUGGAGGGUUUCAAGCAGGAUAAUGUUCCCCUCACCCUGGCCCCAUCUGACUGUUUUUGGAAGGCCCCUUGGACUGCUGUGGGGAGAGCAGCCUGGAGGGCACAAGACUGAGCUAGGAACACAUAUUCUAGGGCAUUCAUGAGCAGUCUCUGGUACAGAGGCCACUUGGGAAUGCCAAAGGAUUAUGUCAUAUCUUUCCUUCCUCUGAGCCCCUGUCCCUACUGCACAGCAGAGCCCUGGGCAUAGAGCAGGUGUUCAGAAAAGGGUUCUGACUCAAACCUCAGGUGGAAACAAUGACAGAAAUAUUUCAGUCCUGCGGUCAACGGUUUUGCACAAAGAGGAUGCUCUGGAUUUGCACAGCAGGAUGACCUUUUCUACUUGACCCUAUGGGAAGGGUAAAUUUUAAAAAAUAAAAUAAAAUAUUAAGCCAUUCUAAAGCCAUUGACCUUCUCUACCAGCUAUUCAGCUUGUCUUUGAUUUGAAUGACCCCUCUGUCUUAGACAUGACUUUCUUGACAGGGAGCACAUCACAGCUGCCAAAUCUCCCUUAGAUGUCCAUUAAGUUUAAGGAAAAGACAUGAAAAUCUUGCAGGUUAAUGAAAUGAGAAAGGAGCAUAUCCAAGUGUGAAAAUAAAAUGCAAAAAAGAUACAAACAGCUAGAAAAAUACCAAAAUUUCUAUAUUAGGUGGUGGAGUGGGGAGACUACUUGGAAGGAAAAUUUUUAUUUUUCAGCCUGAGACAACUGAUGGGGCUGGAGGUGGAGACAUUAAAAAUCAAUUUAGAGACAAGAGAGUGCUCAUUUCAAAAGCACAAUUCCACCUUCCCAACCCUCCUCCUCCACCAUAAAAUGUCAAAUCCCAGCGUGGGAGAAACGCAUCAGAUCUCAACUCUAUAGUGUUCAUGUGUUCUGCUUGGAUUACAUCUACUGGAAUAUUUACUUUGAAUAAAAUGCAAGUUCCCUGCAGCAGUCAGGGGGAAUCACAAUGAAUGGAACAAACAAGGCGUUUUGCAGAUGAAACCAAACCCCAAGUGGGAUGUUCCAUUCAAAUUAAUUGACUCUCUCACAUGCGGACUCCCCUUUGUCUGAUCUUGGGUCAUCUAUUCUUUAUUCUGGGAUUUCAAAGCAGAUGUUUUUCUGUCCACGUUAUUGCAGAAACUUGAAGUGCUUUGCCCACCAGUCCAACCAAGACCUCCACUUACCUGGAGAUGAACUAUAAGGGAUGGGGCCCAAAGAACAGGGUCUCCAGUUGCUUUGCUUUAUAUACAUUUACUUAGUAUUCCCAAAAGGCUUGCAGUGUCUGAAAGAUUAGCCCUUGAUCAUUCCCACUCCAGGCAAUAUGCCUUCUCCCUCAUUAAUGACAAUCAGAAGGAAAUGUAUCUGCCAGGAAGCACCUGGGGGUCCACAAAGCAAGGAGUGCCUAGCUUAGUUCUGUUGUUUAUUAUUUUAGCUGAAGACCACACAUCAGAGCCCUAAUACCUCAGUCCCCAUCUUAUGCGCUUUAAACUAAUAGAGGGAUUCCUAGAGACAGCGGUAAAGUUCCACAGAAGCCUGUAUCUCUACUUUUUGUUCAACAAGCACUUACAGAGCUGCUGUGAUGUUGCCAGAAACUGUUCUGGGGACAGCACGAAACCAAACUGUGCUUACACUGAGCUGGCAUCUUAGUACAGGAACCAUAGACAAUAAGCAGAUAACUACAGAAUGCAGCAGGUAGUGAGGAGUCUGCAGAUGAAGAAUAAAGCAGGAAAAGGGGUCAGAGGCUCUUGGGAAAUGUCUUUGAGCAAGGUGACCUUCCGGCACAGGCUAAAGGGAACAAGGGAUUCAGCCACACAGCCUGGUGGAAGAGCAUUCUGAGGUUAAGGAACAGCAAAGGCAAAAGUCCUGAGAGGAGCUUAUGUGCCUCAGGCUACCCUAUAAAACAGCCUGUGACAUAGAGGGGCAGAAAGGGGUGUUGCCUUGCCUUCUCCUUCAUUUCCCUUCCUUCAUUUCUUUCCCUCUCUCCUUCUCUCUCACUUCCUGCUUUCCUCCUACCUCCUACCUGCCUUCCUGCCUUCCUCCUCCUUAGCUUCUGGAAUGAGCGGCUCCACCUCUUUAAGUGGACAGACCACUUAACAGUGAUUAACCUCAAAAGCUUUCCUAGCCAGCCAAGUUUCCUUUUUCUGGAACCUGGGGGCUCCUGGGGCUGAGGGAUGCAGAGAAGGCUUUUGCAUAGUAUCUCAAGUUUGGAGAGAAGCACUCUUCUAGCAAGAUAAGGCUAUAACUUAUCCUAGAUGUCCUUAUCGGCAUUGUAUUUGUAGAGACACCCACGUCAGGAUCUGAAGAAGCAAGCCCCCCACCAUGAGGAGUGGGGAGCAGGUAAUGAAAAGGCUUAAAAGGGGCAUGUGACUCUGUGUGUGUGUGUGGUACAAGGGAGAUGGUACAGUGAGGGUACAAUCUGGGGACAAGGUGAAUGAGGUGGAAAUCUACUUCUGAAUGUCCACCAGGUCCCCCCACUGCAACCAACUCCCACACCCUCAUCUUGCUGACUCAGCGUGUAUGGGUAGGCUUAUCCCUUGAGCCCAAAGAACUGAACUCAUAAAUUUAGAAAUCCAUGUAUUUGCUUGACUCACUGAUUAUAACCUUUUUGGGUACCAUCUCUUCUUCCAGCAUCAAGGGGCACAGUGCACAGACUGCCCUCUAAGACAACAUGGAAGUUAGCUUCCUGUUUUCCCAGAACAGAGUAUGCUAAGGAUUCUUUGUUGUUUUGCUUCUCUCUUAGCUGUUCUCUACAUUUCUGCAAAAAUCCCAUAUCUUCUCUUAAAGGCACUUCUAAUCCCCUCAACAGUUGUUAGUUUAAAAUGCAACACCAUUGUCCCUCCUUAGUACCAGCCUAAAAAAUAAUUCUCUUCAUUCGACUGAGUGGUGUGUUAAUGGCUGUCAACUGAGUUUCAUUCCACAUCUUUACAACUUAGCUAGUAAAUCUAAGCUGCUAAAUCUGCAUCCUUAUUUCAUCUAUCAGCCUCUUAGCCAUCAGUUAAACAUUCACAAACACACACAAAUCACCAGAGAGCUUUCCUGUAUUCAUUCAAGGUGUGAGUGUUACAUGGAUUAAUUUGAGGGACACCAUGUGGCACAUUUACUAGGGUCUUUCCCACAGGGUAUAAACUGAUCAUACAGAGAACUGUGGGACCAACCCUGAGUAGUCCUUUGUCAGGUUUGGACAUGGUGCAUCCCCUUAUUGCCAGACGACAUGUGAUAGAGUCAUUACAUGCUGGAUAUCAGGAUAUCUCAUCUAAAUCUGGCAUAUUUGGAUUGCACACAAUUCCUCUUAUUUCUUCUCUUUCUGCAAAAGAUACAGCCCUUACCUGACAAAAACCCUUAUCUAUUCCCCUUCAGUAUUGUUUGCACUAGGUUAAAUUACCCCUGUUCUAGCUAUCUUACUUCCCAACCAUUUAUUCAUCUUGGAUGCUUCUAUAUAGUGCUCAGUUUGCAUGAUCCAUAGCUGCAAUGCUCCAAAGUACCCAGUUUGCUAGACCCAAAAUCUGAUCUAGACAAUGGGACACAGGUCAGCUGGUCAUGUAGCCAACUAAACUAUACACCAAGACCCUCAGGGACAGGUAGGCAAAUUGGUCAAUUUACUGUGCCUGACCCUCUAAUGGCCAAGGUGGUUUUGCAUUAUUCUUCCAUAUUUGAAUAAGAGGGUGUAAGUACCCCCAUAGGGGUAAUACUGCCCCUCCCCUGGGAAACAUAGGAAGCUCCCGGUGGCUUCCUCUUCCACACUGCACAUGCUCCUUCAUGCUGGGCCCCUACUUUGUCCAUGCUAGUAGGAAUUGCUCUGUAUGAUGGCAGAUGUUACUGACGGGCACUUAUUACCAUAUAUAGACCAUCUGGGGGUCUAGAAAGAGUUAAAAUCUUAGAAUAUGGGCCAACAACAGAUUAAGGAAACCUGAAAUGGAAGAGAAACAGAUCAGUUUCACUCUCACUGCCAAGGAAUUUCAAUGGGUUUUACCAAACUACCCCCUCUUGGGAGUCCACCAAGCUGAUUAGAGCCUAUCAAGUCCAAACCAGCCAGCUGCCCAGGGGAACAGCCAGAUAUGACGUUCAUCUAUACCCAGAAAAUAUCUUCCAAGACCACUCUAGCUGCAGUGUCCAGCCUGAAUCCACUCUAACCAUCUCAGGUAAAACAAUAAAAUCAGAGAGAGCCUGGCCAACCACAGACAAUGGGACUAAGGGGGUUCUUGGGAUGCAAAAUUUUCAGUACCAAAAUUGGGAAAUUCUGAGAAAAUCAGGAUGAAUUGGUCACUCUACCAGAGACCAUAAUUAUGUAAAUAGUGAGCUUAGGUGUCAUGCUUCCAUUUCUAGGCUAUUCUGGCUCCAGAGGGAUCCUUUAAUUAGCUAUAGAUAUGGGAAACCAUGGGACUUAUGGGUAUACUAUAUAUACUUUGAGGCUUAUUUAAAUUUAACAAAAUGCAAUGUGUCUUCUGCAAAUACUUGGAACUCCAUCAGUGACACUCCAAAAUCAGCUUUAAGUGGUAACAUUUUAUGUAAUUAUGACAAUCAUCUCUAAAAUAAGUGAUUAAGUGCUUCAAUAAAAAAGGAAUGGUCUGAAAACAAAUCUCUCAGGAAUUAUAAAUAUUCUCUAAGAUAUCUGCCCAAUUACAGGCUCUUUGAAUCUUGUUUUUAUAUUUCUUGCCAACAAAGGUUGCUUAGCAACAGUCAUCCAUCUCUUUUUCUCUCUGUGGUUUCCUCUCCCACCUUUGCAGUUGCAGACUAAGGAGAGGGGAAAGCUACUGCUUGGCAAUGACCUCAUCUCCUCAGUUCAUAAACAGAAAAAUGAGGGUUGUGUAAAUGCAAUGGUCCCUAAUGCCUGCACCAAGGUCUCUACAGUCUGAAAAGUUGUUAUUAAAAUAAGUUAAAUUCGAAUGGUGCCUUAACACUUUAAAACCUGUAUAAGAGCAAAAGAGGUUCAGACAACAAUUAUUCUGGAAGGGCUGUUGCUUAAUUGCCCUGGUAUCUUUGUGCCUUAGAAUCUUGACCCAAUUUUCAGCUGAUGGAGAGGGAUAGAAAUGACACUGUUGAGUACCAACUUUUUGCUGUAUCUUAACUAGGUGCAAGUUUAACUGGGCUUUUAGAAUUGGAUUUUGGAUGGCUCAGGUGUUUUGCUUUGUUUUGUUUUUAGUUUUAGGUUGUGUGUGUGAGAGAGAGAGAGGAAGGCAGACAGAAAUUCGCAUGGAGACAGAGACCAUUGUAUGAGGCAUAAGAGGCAGAGGCACAAGCAGGACCUGGCCUCAGAGAGCCUGGAACCACAUUCUAGCCAUCCUUGGGGUUCUCACCCAUUUUUCUCUAUGGCUGGACCUUCCCUGAGCUCACUUCUGUCUGCUCUUCGAGUCUCCUUUUGCAGGCUCUCUCUGCCCUACAUUCUUACCCUAACCACAGAUCUUAGCUUGUUCAAAUCUCACAGCGACUGCUCCCAUAGAACUGCCUUGCUCAGAGAUCGCUGUCUACCUCACAGACUCUCUCUGUGUUUCUUUCAACUUCAGCUCUUCCUGAAAACUGUCUGGUUAUCUCUAAACUUCUCAAUCUGGAAACCCAAGAGUGAAAUUUCCAGUCUAAGUAAUGUCAUAGGCCAACGGCCAACUGUAAACUGGUAGUCCUGGCCCAGUUAGCUUGUACCAGAAUGAAGUAGGUAUUAUAGCUUACAUCGCAUGUCCUCAAAGUUCAAACGUUGAAGUCCUAACCCUCAGUACCUCAGAAUGUGCCCUUAUUUGGAAAUAGGGUCACUGCAUUGGUUUGUUAAGAUAGGAUGAGGUUACACUAGAGUGCAGUGGGAGUCUAAUCCAACAUGACUAGUGUCCUUAUCGGAGGGGGACAUCUGGACACAGACAUGCAAACAGGGAGAGAGCUAUGUGAAGAGACAUAAGAAGUAGACAGUCC
ensembl:lncRNA